rnacentral:rRNA from 1 species
AACGAACGCUGGCGGCAUGCCUAACACAUGCAAGUCGAACGAUAACUUCGGGUCGGGUGGCGCCCGGGUGCGUAACGCGUGGGAACCUGCCUUUAGGUUCGGAAUAACUCAGAGAAAUUUGAGCUAAUACCGGAUGAUGUCUUCGGACCAAAGAUUUAUCGCCUUUAGGUGGUGCCGAGUUGGAUUAGCUUGGUGGUGGGGUAAAGGCCUACCACGGCGACGAGCCAUAGCGGGUCUGUGAGGAGGAACAGCCGCACUGGGACUGGGACCCGGCCCCGACUCCUACGGGAAGCGGGGAUGGGUACUAUAGGAGCGUGAGCGUGAGGCUGAUCCACCGCGGGCGCGUGAGUGAUGAAGGCCUUGUGAUCGGAAUUCUGCUUUAACCGAGAUGUUAAUGACGGUAUCGGGAGAAGAAGCACCGGCUAACUCCGUG